rnacentral:rRNA from 1 species
CUACGCCUACGGGAGGCAGCAGUGGGGAAUAUUGCACAAUGGGGGAAACCCUGAUGCAGCGACGCCGCGUGAGUGAUGAAGUAUUUCGGUAUGUAAAGCUCUAUCAGCAGGGAAGAUAAUGACGGUACCUGACUAAGAAGCUCCGGCUAAAUACGUGCCAGCAGCCGCGGUAAUACGUAUGGAGCAAGCGUUAUCCGGAUUUACUGGGUGUAAAGGGAGCGUAGACGGCAUGGCAAGUCUGAUGUGAAAACCCGGGGCUCAACCCCGGGACUGCAUUGGAAACUGUCAGGCUAGAGUGUCGGAGG